rnacentral:lncRNA from 1 species
UUAAUAAAACUCAUUACUCUGGGAAUGUUCCGAGGCAGCCCGACCCUUGCCUGCCUAAGAAAAUCAGCCUCUGCUCCUCAUUCUAAGCCCUUAUCCAACGUCCCCACCUGCAAGACCAGUUCCUGAGGGUCGGCAUGAAGAAGAGGAAAAGCACGUGGAGGAUAGAGUAAAAUACGUAGACUAAGAGAGAAAGUAGGAUGCGGUGAUGGAAGUGAGAGCCGCUUGGAAAAAACUGGGAGAGAGGAGGAGGAGGUGGCGCUUGGAGCAGCAAAGACUCUGCGGUGUGUGCGCGUGCGCGCGAGAAAGAAUGGGGAAAGUAAUAGAUACUCGAAAGGCUGACUGGGUUGAUGAAUGGAAUUCCCCUCCGUAAUUUUUGGAGUCAUAAUUUUUGCCCCUUGGACUGUGCUUCUUGAAGUGCAGCGUGCCUGGAGCCCGGGCCGUGGGGCCACUCGGCUACGGAUGCUAUGUGAUCUAACCAGGACCCAGGAAGGGGCCCUCUGGCUGCAGUGAGAGAGGGGUACACGGGGCGACACGCAGUGUUCUCAGGAGGGCGGCACAGCUGCUGCAGAGCUAUCUCCAACUUUGCCACCUGAGAAACACAAGUCCAAGUCCAAUACUUACAGAAGAAAUAACUAUUCCACCUAGUCAAGGAACUAGCCAACACUUAAUGGAGGAUUGCCCUUGGUUAUAGAGCUAACUGCAAAUGAAGUAACUAGAGGAAGACCAUUUACCUUCUCCAUUGAAGAGACCAUUCAAGAGCCAACUCAGCAAUCAGGGUCUAGCAGUGUUACUGACUGGAUGACUGGCACUUAGAGUCCAGCACCCUGCUGAGAAACCAGCAACCCAUGUGAGGAUUCCAUGGCCAACUGAGAUCACAAGACUCUUGAACAGAAGAAAUGCCAAGAGAGCUAGAAUCUUACAGAUGGUGGUAUUAAUAAUGGAGCAAACUAGAACCAAUGACAAAGACAUGAAGUCUGAAAAUAGCACAGAGAAUAUAAAUAUUGUGAGAUGAAUGUUCCCCCUUCAAUUCUCCUUAUUUGCCAAAUAUUUUCAUUUCCUUUUGUCAUUAUAGAAAAUAAAACCAUGCAUCACAGUCAAAAGUGCUCCACUAGCAACAUUGUAUGAUUCACUCUUUUUGUCAUACAUGUCUUUAGUAAUUGAUGGAUAUUAAAAUCACACAGACUAUUUAAUAAGGGCUUAUUUUACUUGCAUCGCCACUUUGAUUCAAAAAAAGAUUUAAGGUAGUUAAUAAGGUUAGAAGGAAAGAGAGUUAACAAAGACAAGAACUUUAACUAGAGUCAAAACUAAAGUCAAUAUUUAAGAAAUAAACACCACAUAGUCUCCCACGCUUUCUC